rnacentral:rRNA from 1 species
AGCAGUAGGGAAUCUUCGGCAAUGGGAGAAAUCCUGACCGAGCAGUGCCGCGUGAAGGAAGAAGGUUUUCGGAUUGUAAACUUCUGUUGUAUAGGAAGAAUGGUAACUGGAGUGGAAAGCCAGUUAAAUGACGGUACUAUACUAGAAAGCCACGGCUAACUACGUGCCAGCAGCCGCGGUAAUACGUAGGUGGCAAGCGUUAUCCGGAAUUAUUGGGCGUAAAGAGUGAGCAGGCGGUUAGACAAGUCCAAGAUGAAAAGCUGUUGCUUAACGACAGUUGGUUUUGGAAACUGUAUAGCUAGAGUACAGGAGAGGUAAGCGGAAUUCCAUGUGUAGACGGUGAAAU